AGGGUUUGAUCCUGGGCUCAGAUUGAACGCUGGCGGCAUGCUUUACACAUGCAAGUCGAACGGUAACGCGGGCUUUGGCCUGGCGACGAGUGGCGAACGGGUGAGUAGAACAUCGGAACGUAUCCUGGAGUGGGGGAUAGCCCGGCGAAAGCCGGAUUAAUACCGCAUGAGCUCUGAGGAGGAAAGCGGGGGAACCGCAAGGACCUCGCGCUGUUGGAGCGGCCGAUGCCGGAUUAGCUUGUUGGUGAGGUAAAGGCUCACCAAGGCUGCGAUCCGUAGCUGGUCUGAGAGGAUGAUCAGCCACACUGGAACUGAGACACGGUCCAGACUCCUACGGGAGGCAGCAGUGGGGAAUUUUGGACAAUGGGGGCAACCCUGAUCCAGCCAUGCCGCGUGCGGGAAGAAGGCCUUCGGGUUGUAAACCGCUUUCGGCCGGAACGAAAUGGUGCAGGUUAAUACCCUGUAUUGAUGACGGUACCGGAAGAAGAAGCACCGGCUAACUACGUGCCAGCAGCCGCGGUAAUACGUAGGGUGCGAGCGUUAAUCGGAAUUACUGGGCGUAAAGCGUGCGCAGGCGGCUUUUUAAGACAGGUGUGAAAUCCCCGGGCUUAACCUGGGAAUGGCGCUUGUGACUGGAAGGCUAGAGUGCGGCAGAGGGGGAUGGAAUUCCUGGUGUAGCAGUGAAAUGCGUAGAUAUCAGGAGGAACACCGAUGGCGAAGGCAGUCCCCUGGGUCGACACUGACGCUCAGGCACGAAAGCGUGGGGAGCAAACAGGAUUAGAUACC
rnacentral:rRNA from 1 species